rnacentral:ncRNA from 1 species
UGCCACGCCCGUGGCUAGGGGCGAUUUCGCGCAUCGGUAACGGGAAUGCGGUGCGGAUGGUUCGCCAUCCCAUUCCGCAGCUGUCCCUGCAACUGUAAGCGGAGAGCGUCCGGCUCUUUUAUGCCACUGGGCCUUGCCCGGGAAGGCUUGCCGGAUGUGUCGACCCGUGAGCCAGGAGACCGACCGGAGCGCGUCGCUCUUG